UGAAAGCCUUGUGUGAGUAAAUGCCUAACGUUCCUUCUUUCCCUGGCUGCCUGAUUCUGAUCUCAUUUAUGCCCCCUGGAUUUCUCUGCCCAUGUCAAAUAUUCUCUUGGCUUCUGAUUUCUGGACAUCGACCCUGCUUCUGCCUCCCGACUACGGCUCUCUGCCUAACCCCUGGAUCCGUCUGCCUAAAUCUGCCUUCCCGUUCAUGAGCUUGCUUCUGUGCCCUGACUGACGAUUCAAGCCUCUCCCUCAGAUCCUGUCUCCUGACUGCUUCUCCGGCUUUGACCCAGUUUCUGUUCCCUGACUACCGCACUCUGCUUACUCACUGGAAGUACAAACCUGAGAACCCAUUAGACGUUGUACUGGAUCAUCACACUGAGGAGCUGUAAUUCAGUUUCCUUAUCUCUCAACAGAUACUGAAAAGGUUAGUGGCUUUUAUUCUGCAUUUGUCACUCUUCUCAGUACUCUGCUCAGCCACUAACCUAUCUGUCUGCCCUCAGAGGUUCCUGAGCCUGCAGCUGGUGGUUUCCUGCCGAUCAUCUUCCAGAGCUUUCAAUAAAUCUUUUGAAUCUUACCUGCUAUGUUCGGCUGAAAUUUUGGUCCUUUGAAUUAUUCGUUACAUCUGCACUAAUUUGUAUACCUCUGAGCAGAGUAGAGGUACACUACUCAUUUUGUGCUUCAUUUUCUAAUCAACAGAAUCAUCAGCUGAUGGACAUUUUCCAUAAUUUGAACCUGCAGUGUAACCUGGUGCACAAAUUAUCUAGUUGGGGAAAAACAGUGUCACACCGACCCUUAAAGAAGCUGUGAAUGACACCAAUGAACACCACACCUUAGCUCUGAUGCUGCACCUGCCGCAUUUGCACAAAGUUUCGGAGGCUGUUUAUGGAAAUAUCUGACUAUUGUUCUGGAAGCUCAUUUGAAAGGUCAAACGCCAAUGUUGGACGAGAAGGUCUGGCUCACAGCCUCUGCUCUAAUUCAUUCCGAAGAGGUUGUGUCAGCUUAAGGUCUGGACUCUAUUCAGGCCAGUCAAGUUCUUCCAUACCAAAUUCGCUCGGCCAAACUUUGUGGAUCUUGUUUUUUCACAGGCGCUUAGUCUUGUAGGAACAGGAAGGGACUAUCCAGUUGUUUUCACAAAGUUGGGAGCAUGAAACUGUCCCAAAUGUAUUGGUGUAUUGAAGGUGUUGUUCCAAAUGACUGGAAACAUGCAGUGGUGCAGCAUUUGAUUAAAAAGCCCAGCCUGAAUCCAACUGUUGUGUAGAAUUUUAGACCUAUCUCCAAGCUUUCUUUUCUUUAGAAGAUUUUGGAGAAAAUCGUCUACAGUUUAUGGCCUUUUUAAUGGCACCUAACAUUUCUGAGGUCUUUCGGUGUGGUUAUAAGUCACUUGAGAGCACAGAAUCUGCACUGCUCAGGGUUUUUAAUUAUACUUUUUCAGCUACUCUCAGAGUCUGCAGUCUCUGCUUACCUUCUUCCACCAUCAGUUGCUGCUGAGGGCUGCGUCUCUGGGUGCGACAGGUGUUCCUCAUUUUGACGAUCAUCUGGAGGAGUAUAUAGGGGACGGAUCACCAGCACUUCUUUGCCUGAGUGUUUUGCCUACAGCGGUUCCAUAGUCAGUCUUUUGACUCAGUCUGAUGGUUUAUCGCACCCUGCAUCAGAAGAACCCGGAUCAAGUCCCAGCUGGCAGUCCGUUAUCCAGUACUCUUUCCUCGCCUGCAUGCACCCAGUCCACCCUCCAACGAUCCGCUUACUUGGACCACGGAAGUUCCUGGUGGAUUCCCAGAAGAGGACCUCCUGGAUCUCCAGACUCAUUUGCCAUCUCCCUGGUGGAUCUAGUCCUCCCUGCCAUCUGAAACAGACUGUUAGCUGUCACUCACCAAGUACUUACCUGACCUGUUUCCCUCUUUUUCGCAGUCCUCCGGUUCCUGUCUGCGUGGCUGAUCAUUAUCUGUUCCAGAAUUCUAGCAAUAAACUUCCAAAACUGUU